AAUGAACGCUGGCGGCAUGCCUAACACAUGCAAGUCGAACGAGACCUCCGGGUCUAGUGGCGCACGGGUGCGUAACGCGUGGGAAUCUACCCUCAGGUUCGGAAUAACUCAGAGAAAUUUGAGCUAAUACCGGAUGAUGACGUAAGUCCAAAGAUUUAUCGUCUGAGGAUGAGCCCGCGUAGGAUUAGGUAGUUGGUGAGGUAAAGGCUCACCAAGCCGACGAUCCUUAGCUGGUCUGAGAGGAUGAUCAGCCACACUGGGACUGAGACACGGCCCAGACUCCUACGGGAGGCAGCAGUGGGGAAUAUUGGACAAUGGGCGGAAGCCUGAUCCAGCAAUGCCGCGUGAGUGAUGAAGGCCUUAGGGUUGUAAAGCUCUUUUACCCGGGAUGAUAAUGACAGUACCGUGAGAAUAAGCUCCGGCUAACUCCGUG
rnacentral:rRNA from 1 species